AAAAUACAGGAGAGAAAAGGCGAGCAGAGGUUCAUCUAGCAUCGCCACUCCUCCGAGCUUCGAUCAUCUUCUCCAUCCAUUGCCAGGUUUUUCUAGCAGCGCUAGCAAUCCGAGAGGAAAGGGGAUUCCCUUCCUCCUUGGAUUUCGUCACCAAGCCAAAUCCAUAUCCGUCCACCUUUAUCCCUUUCAAAUCGACGUUGUCUCCACUGCAGGCAACCACCGAGCUGCCCUUCGCGUAGUUUGGGGUUUUUCACAUUGCCGGAAGCAGUUGGACAUUCCGAGAUGCCUCCUUCAUCCAUUCCUCGCCCGCAGCUCCUCUGAUCACAGUAUCAUCUUCGCUAUCAACACCAACGCAUGAUCAUCUUCACAGUGCAAUUCCGAGCUAAGGGAUGCCCUAUUGAAUUAUCAUUCAGCCAUUACAUUCGUUGGGAGACGAUCCGAGCCAUUCUCUAUACUGCAUUAGCAUAGAGAGAAGGGUGUUUUUGAUGAUGAUGGGAGCUAGUUGAGUUUGACUAUGCAUUUGCUGGUGAAGAUAGUGUAGGGAUUUUUGUUAAUGGAGGUAGAGCCUCAAGAAUCACUUCCUUUGGUUGUACAUUCACCUGAGCCAGAGCUUGACCUAAAGCCAGAGCCAUUACCUGACCAAGAGGAGGCCACAGUCAUUGUUUCAAAACCUCCAAGUACCUUCCAACAUGACAAGGUGAGCAUUCCGUCUAAUCUUUUAGAAAAUUUUAUGGAGGUACCCAUUUUUGAUUUUAUUAGAUGUGAUGCAUUCUUCGAUACAUUCUUUGCAAAGGUUGAUUUUAUUUUAUUUCAUUCUUACCCUGUAUGCGUACGGGAGGUGUUGUCUUUCCUUGGCUUUGUAGGUCGUUGUAGCCUUCUAGAGUGGUUACUCCAUCUAAACCGCCUCUGACUUCUGGGCUGAAUUUUCCAAGAGCUCACGGUGGGAGAAGAGGUGAUCACCUCAAUUCUUAGCAUUCCACUUCCGGAGUGGAUUUUGUACCUUAACCGUCUUCAACCACUUGGACAUACUUACGAGGAGUUAACAAUGGAGGGAGCAGUGCACCACAAUACUGAUCACACGAGGAUAGCUCUCUCAUCUACCGAGACUACUCCAUUAUCGGCGUAGCCUUUACUCUUGAACCAUCUUCAACUGCUAGGAAUAAAGGGGAGUCUAUUUUUUUUUCUUUUCUUUUCUUUAUACUUUAUACUUUCUUUUGUCUUUAUACUUGAGUGUUAGUUUGCAUUUGAUUCUUUGCUUUCACACUUAGCACUUUUCACUUUGUUUUGUCUUUCCUAUACUUUGUUUGGUUUGAAUAAGUUCCUCAUGCAUUCUUAGUAAUACUUUGAGAAUUGUAAAAGUUCUUUAAGUUUGACCGUCAAGUUCUAGGUCAUUUGAUAUGAUUGACUGUUUAACUUGCAUGAUAUUGGUUUGUGUGGUGAUGGAUUCUAUUUUGAUCAAUUGAGUUUGAUUGCCAAAAUUACUUAGAGAGGACUACUACAUGCCUAUACUUUAUUCUCUUUUUGUGUGAUAUGCACUCAUGACAAUUGAAGUCUAGAACUUGCUUUGCUUCUUUUUAAAAUCACAAUAUCAUUGGCAUGCAAUGAAUAUGAUGAAGGAUAUUUCUUUCCCCAUCCUUUGAAUUCUUUUCCUUUCAAAUGUUAGUUGAAUAAUUCACUCAACAAAUUUAUCUUCCACCAUACUUGCUUGAGGUUUAUGGAGGUUCCAUUGUGGGAUCAAUUCAAGAGUUGUAUUGUCAGAUGUUAUAUGAAGUCACAAUUCAAGUGGAAUUUCAGCCAUAUUUUGUUGGAAGUCAAAACAGAUUUUUCAAGUUUUAAAGAGAUAGAAGUGGUGGAAUAUGUGUGAAGUUUGAGUUCAAAUUGGGAAGUUGGUUUUAGAGAAUCAGAGCAGGAAUUAUGGUUACCUGUUGAUGUUUUUGUCCUUGGCUCUGUUUAGGGCAGUUUGAAAGUAGGGAAGUCUGAUUUUGGCUGGGUUGUAGUGCUGAAAAAUAAAAAUGAAAUGAAAGUUGGGUUGUCCAAAAUUGAAGUGGUAGAGGAUUGAGGAAGUAAGGUAGCUGAUCUGAAACUGGUUUUGGAAUCUGACUUCUAAUCUCUGAGGUUAAUUACAAAAGCUGAAUUCUAAUUAAGUUACUAGAACCUGUUCUUUCCUCCUGCUGCUGCCAAUUAAGAAAGCUUUGAAUCAAACUCUAGAAACACUUGGGAGUUAAAUGAUGAACAAGACUGAAUCUCCAACGGAAUUUAGGGAAUCCAACCAGUACCUUGCAAGACUCUAACAACUUGAGCAUCCAACCAAGUAGCUGAACUUUGUGUUACCUAGGGACUGUUGGGUACCAAGUCUCCAUGCUGAUCUUGACCAGCAACAACAUGAAAUUAGUCUCCUGUUAGUUUAGUGUUAAAUGAGAUCUUUCCUUGAUUUCAACUCCUCAUAAAUAAAAGAUGAAUUUCCUUGGAUCCUCAAUUCUGAAACUCUGAAAGAAUUCUGGAUUACUGAAUUGUAGAAGUUCUUUGACGAUUGGAUUGGAAUCUGAUCUCAGAAGCUGCAGUUGAAGCAAUGGUGAUCUUUCUCUUGCUGUCCUGUUAGCCUAGUAUCAAUUGAUUUAUUCUUCAAAAACUCAACUUGUCAUGACCUAGCAGUUGGAAUAGAAGUUAGAAACUGAAAUCUGGAAAACCAGAAUUCAGAAACUAGUUCAUUCCUGGAAUUCUUUGGUGACUCUGAAAUUUUAUCUGUUGAAUUGAAGAGAUUGAUAACAGCUUGAACUUUAAUUCCUGUGUUGCAUUAACAAUUGAUAACCUCUUCUAAGCUAAAUUCUUGAUGACUUGAGAUGAAACUUCCUUAAAUUCGAAGUUUUGAAACUGAAGAUUGAAGCAACAAGGCUUACGGAUCAGUUUAAUUUUUAAAACUUUUUAGAAUGGUUUAUGAUCCUGUUUUCUGAGUUCUGAAGUGCAGGAAGUCAUUAAACUACUUUGAAUCUAAUUUCUAGAAUUUAGGUCUGUGGAUUCCAACUUCUGAACCUGAGUCUGUAAAAUUUCAGAAGCAGUUGGAUUCUAGUGUAAACUUUAAUCUCAGGAAAGAAGAAAAAAAGAGAAGCCACUUCAUGUGCCAAUGUCUUUUGUGGUUUCUUAUCAGUAACAAUUUGAAUUCAAGCUCCUAGUAGUUCAAUGUUAAAUGAGAACUCAUUCCAAGCUAAACCCUUCAUGAUUUUAACUGAGAUUCCCUUGAAUGAACAAUUCUGAAACUGAAUGCAGUGUUGUCCCUGGAACUCAAGCUUGAGUUCUGAAAUGGAUCUGGAAUUCAUACAUUGCCCACAGUUAAUGUUGGUGGGGAUGCUGAAAUCCUGAAGAAAGUACCAAGUGUUCAAGUAAGAAGGGAAAAAAAACCCGUGAAGCUAAAAUUCUGGAAUCAAAUGCAAAGUGGUGGAGUCAAAUUCUCUUGGAUGAUUUCCGGUCUAAUUCUUUUCUUGAAGGGAGUUUUUUUUUUUUUCCCGAUACAAGGAGUGGAUACACUUUUUGAUACUAGAGUUUAGAGAAAUAACAGAACCACACCAAGUACAUAGAAUUAAGAUUCAGAUGUUAAACCUGGAAAUUAUGCAACUACUCAAACAUGUUGGAUGAUCAUGCUUGCAAUUUUCUGGAAUUUGAAUCUGGUUUCUGAAAUUGAUCUUUGAAAUUCAGAAAUUCCUUAGGCAUUGAGUUUGUUCUAGAUUCAAAAAAGUAAGCUCAGAAAGGUGCAAGUGCUGCUAUGGAAUUGAACCCUAGAAUGUCUGAAACUAUAAAGUACAGAUUUCUCUGAUGUUUUCCAAAUCGAAUUGCUUUGUACGAAAGUCUGGUGCUAAACUUGUUGGGAAUGAGUGCUCUUGAGUUAUAUGGUGCACAGAGGGAAGUAUUUUAUAGAAUAAUGGAGAGCUUAUGUGGAUAUGAAGUUACCUGUUUUGGCUAAGAAGUUGAGUUGUAAUUGGAUUAACAGUGCUAUGUGCCAAGUUUUCUCUGCAGAAUUUUUAUCAGUGAAAAGUUCAAGAGAGGUUUCUACCUUUUCAUUAUUAAUUGGUGACUCCUUCUCUCCAAGCUCUUAUGAUUAAAAAAAAAACCUGCAAGUUUUUUUUCCUAGAGCUGCGAAACAAAACCCUGAAUUGUUGCUGCUAAUGCCAGAAUUGCUGGAAAUUGAGUUGCAAAUGCUGAAACUGAAAUCUGGGACUGGUUCAAUCUGGUAAUUCUAUUGAAUCUCAAUUUUGGGAAAUGACUUUUGAACAUCUAUAAGUUCAGGAUUAACAGGGACUUGACCUAUCUGUACAGAUUGCUGCAGAACCAGGAUCUGUGCAGUUCUGAAUUGAAAUCAGAAAUUUCAAGGAAUGGUGAACUUUGGUUGAUAAUCUCAGCUCAUCAACUCCAGGAGUCCUUGCUUCUUUUCAGCUGUGUAUAAUUUGACAAUGAAGAUGAUAGAAUUUGUAGACCUUCACCAAGUAUGCAAGGACCAGAAUUCAACCAAUGAAGAAAAAAAACUGUGAAAACUGUUUCGUGCCAAAUCUUCUUGCUAUUCCUGAUUUGCAGCAACUUGAAUUUAGGCUUAAAUCAUUGCAGUGUUAAUUGAAACCCUUUUCCAAACUUAAUUCUUCAAUGACCAAGCUAAAGUUAUCUUUGAUUCCAAAGUUUGUAACUGCAAUCUGGAACCCAGAAUUCAGAACCUGCAGCCCUGGAGUGAAAUUUCUGAAGCUUAAUCUGAAAAUUUUAAAUCUGUUUUUGCUGAGAGUUUAAACUGUUCAUCAGUAGCAAAUUCUUUUCGCACCAAGCCUUUGAUGAAAGUAUCUGAUCAGUUAAAAACCAACCCCAGACAUGCUGGAAUGUCAGUCAACUAAAUCUCUAAAUAGGUAGAAUUCUGGAAGCUGAAGUCUUGCUGAUUUAAGUUGAACUCACUUCAACUUUCAGAAUCAGAAAUCAUUUGCAAUUUUGAAUUCCUUUUGGUAUGAUUUCUAAAAUCCUGAAAUGCAAUGGUUGGUCUCAACUUAGAGGUUUCUCUGAGCACAGAAAUUUGGACACCAUAGCAUUCCUUUUGCAAAGUUUUGUUGGUUCAUGAAGGAAGAGAGAAAAGAACACUUGCUCGGAGAGUAUCAAGUAGAGAGGAUAGCAUGACAAGAUUCUUGGGUGGUUAUCAAAUUGAAGGAAAGUUUGGCUUAAUCUUCUAUUUUGUCAUUGACAAAUGAUGUUCUUCAUUCCCCAUGAUAAAUUCUUUGAUACAUCUCAAAUUGGGUAACUCAUAAGGCAACCAAGGGAACAUGGAUUCAAGUCGGAUUAAAUUUGGAGUCAAAGCUAGAGCUAAAGGAAGAGAACCAAUUUGGUUUAAUCUUGGAAGUCCAUCCAAGAUCUGAGGAGAUUUGAAUCAUCCAUCAAAGAUCUAGUCCAUCCAAGUCAAAGGAGAGUGGAUCACAACCAUUGAUUAAGAUCUGGAGCUUUGGAUUCAAAUUUGAGUGUUCACAACCAUUGGAUCAGAUCUAGGCCAAUUUCCACCAUUCGUUCAAAUCUAAAAUCAAUUUAAAAGCAAGAAGCUACAAUUGUUUUCGUUCACCAAUUUUCUAUAGGAGGGAGCGGGACAUAAUAGAGGAGAGAAAAGGCGAGCAGAGCUUCAUCCAACAUUGCCACUUAUCUGAGCUCUAAUCAUCUUCUCCAUCCAUUGCCAGGUUUUUAAGCAAUGCUAGCAAUCCGAGAGGAAAGCGAUUCCCUUCAUUGAAUUUCGUCACCAAGACAAUUCUAGAUCCGUCCACCUUCAUCCCUUUCAAACCGAUGUCGUCUCCACCACAGGCAACCACCGAGCUUACCUUCGCGUAGUUUGGGUUUUUUCCCAUUGUCGGAAGCAAUUGGACAUUCCAAGAGGUCUCCUUCAUCCAUUCCUCGGUCGUAGUCCUAUGAUCGCAGUAUCAUCUUCGCUAUCAUCACCAAUGCAUGAUCAUGUUCACAUUGCAAUUCUGAGCUAGGCGAUGCCCUAGUUUGAGUUGUAAGAUUGUUACAUUCUGAUCUUUAGAUCACUCCAUUUUUGAUGUGCAAUUUCCA